ACUUACUACAUAUCUAUUGAAAACCGUACUGAGAAAACAGAAUAGUUUAGACUAAACAAACAUACUAAAAUGUAAUUUACUCGUCAAAUUCAUUAAAGUGAAAUGGAUAUUACAGGUAUUGAUUGCUAUAUAUGUAUAUAUAUAUAAUUUUAUGCUCAAGGUAGCUACCAAAGAAGUGUUGGCAAUUAAUGCUAGCCAGACAACAACAAGCCAUUGGAUCCAUGCCAUGACUGAUGCAAUCAAUGAACACUUAUAGCGUACAUGGAUAAAAUUCCCAAUGACCGAAGAGGAUUGACAGCGAAUUGUUGAUCCAGAUAUGAAAGUGUUAUCAUUGAUUUAAGAUAUGCAGGUGCACGAAACAAUGCAUACAUUUGAAGUAUGUUUCUAAUUCGUCGUGCUAUAAAAUUUCAUUAUAACAGAGGAGACCGGAGAACUUGGCUGAUCAUUGAGUGAUGCUGGAUCCAUUGGAACCGUGGAUUAUAACACCCUUGAUCAGUUUUCCCGAAGAUACCCGAUAGUUUCAGUACAUGGAACAGCUU